rnacentral:rRNA from 1 species
GACGAACGCUGGCGGCGUGCUUAACACAUGCAAGUCGAACGGAAAGGCCCUGCUUUUGUGUGGUGCUCGAGUGGCGAACGGGUGAGUAACACGUGAGUAACCUGCCCUUGACUUUGGGAUAACUUCAGGAAACUGGGGCUAAUACCGGAUAGGAGCUCCUGCUGCAUGGCGGGGGUUGGAAAGUUUCGGCGGUUGGGGAUGGACUCGCGGCUUAUCAGCUUGUUGGUGGGGUAGUGGCUUACCAAGGCUUUGACGGGUAGCCGGCCUGAGAGGGUGACCGGCCACAUUGGGACUGAGAUACGGCCCAGACUCCUACGGGAGGCAGCAGUGGGGAAUAUUGCACAAUGGGCGGAAGCCUGAUGCAGCAACGCCGCGUGCGGGAUGACGGCCUUCGGGUUGUAAACCGCUUUCGCCUGUGACGAAGCGUGAGUGACGGUAAUGGGUAAAGAAGCACCGGCUAACUACGUG